AUGGACCCAGUGAGCUGCUGCCGCAGCUUGUCCUGUGAUGAGCGCCCUGUCGGUGUUAUGGGUGUUUUUACACCUCCAGCUCCAAUUCAGCGUGAACACUACCAGGCUGCGGCGCUCGGAGCCGACAGGUUGCUGCCGCUCCUCUUCCUUCUCUCGCUCGUUUACGUUUACUCCUUGGAUCCACCACCGUCUCCCUCACUUCACGGAUGGCGACUGGGAGAGGUUCCGGAGAACCUUCUUCAGUUCCAAGCUUCUGCCCCCAAACCAAAGAAGAGCCUUGCUCUGUGCCCAAGAGAAGCAGGGGUGAGCAGACACACAAGGCAAGGAACCGACAAGUCAUCUAAUGGGAAGAGGAAAACCUCAGCUUCCUCAAAUAAUGCCACAUCUCCAAAGCCCCAGGCAAAACUCAGCUUCAUCAAAGAGCUCUCUGUUUUGUCCUUAUUGAGGAAAAUCCCACAAAACUGCUGCUUGGAAGGCCGAGAAACAUGAAUUUACUUUCAGGAAUUUGAGGGUCAGCACAUGUCCUUGAAAUGAUGAGCAGUAUCAGGCUUUGGGCUCAGAGCUUUUAUUCCUUAACAGUACAGACAGCAACAGAAAGGAAUUCUUAGCUCGCAAGUAAAGAAAGACCUUAGAACAAAUCCACAGACACGUACGCAACCGUUCCUGAAGGUCACACACAGUAUUACCUGAGACUCAGGUUGCACCUUAUAAAUAUUUGUUCUCUUGGUUCUCACAACAAUCCUAUCCAUAGGCAUCAUUAUUAUCUCCACUGGGCAGAUAGGAAAACUGAGUCACAGAGUUAGAUAACCCACUCAGGGACAUAGCCGAUAAAUCAGCACACCCAGUCUGCCGUGCCCAGGGCUGCCAGAGCCACACCCAAGGUCAGAGAGCAAGCACAAGCCCCGUGUCCUCCCCGUGUCCUUUACUCAGAGAUCUGAGUGACCAAAACACGUCAGGAUGGUUGCAACUUCCCAUCCUUCGUCCUCAAAAAAAAAGUAAAAUAUUGCUAUCUCUUUUCAUUUUUCUUUUGAACUUCAUAUAAAUAAA
rnacentral:lncRNA from 1 species